rnacentral:rRNA from 1 species
GGGAGUCGGCGGUGGCGUGUUUCGGUGGAGAGGGAACGCACACGCACGAGUAGCGGCGGAAAGGAGGGGCGAGGGAUAGUAACGGGGCUGCGGACGUGGCCGAUGGUACCUAGGUACCGGCUACCCUAUCAUGUCCCGUCCCUUCCUGUGGCGGUAGCUGGGCAGUGAAUCUAACCACCGUGUACCCAGCCCAGAUCCGUCUUCCGGCCGCGGACGCCCCCCCUUCGUCGCCCUCUAACACGUCGUCCUCGUCGUCCUCGUUGACGUCUGCGACCAGUCGGGCUGCGUGGCGGAGUCGGGGCGGAGGAGACGACGUCGGGGGUGCCGGCUCUCCCCGUCGACGCGGUAUCGACCGCUGCUCAAAUCGCCGGCGGCGGAGGAGAGGAGAAGCUUAGGUCACGGAUACCCAAGAGGAGCCAACCUAACAAGUAGGAAGAAGCGGCCACCACACGAACAGACAACGUUAUUGAAUGCACGCGACCUACUUGUGAUAGCCAACUCCAAACAAAGAAGAGCAACAGAGGACGCAGGUGGCAGCGUAGCAAGACGGUAACGGUAACUCCAAGCUGCUAGACGAUCCAACGACGUAGACGUUGAGACACGACGAUAAGUUCCUUCUACGAUUUAUUCAACCAAUCGAGACCCCGUUUUCCAGUCGUUUAGACGAACCAACAAGGAGGGUUCCGGUCAUGAAAUGUUUAAAAUGAUGUCAUCGUUCCUGCGAUACGAAACUUAUCAACUCUGCGGGAGACAAAAAGUAGGUACCCGUCUCAUCUACCUCCACGUCGCCGAGUCCUACAGUUCUAUGUAAAUAGAAGGACACGCAUUGACUACAGAUCGUAACGACUUUUGUGGAAAUAGUCUCGACCACAGGUACGGAAGUAGUAUCGACCACAGGCGUAUGAAGUAGUCUCUAGAACAGGUGCCGAAGUCGCCUCAACGACAGGUGUGAAGGUAGUCUCGAUUACAAGUGCCCUAGUAGGUACGCUCGUUACCGCCUCGAUGCACAAUGUUUUUCUCCGGUGCCGCAGAGCGGCCAUCGUUUACUUCACCUCCUAACUCUCAUCCGACUCGACACUCUCUCUUUUUAUUACCUAAGGAAAGAUGACCGUGCGGGUGGAAACAUGACCGUGCGGGUGGAAACUGUCACAUCGAGGCGGUGACGUACGCUCGAGGGGAGUACGAGUCGACACCACCUUCGGAUUUUGUUGUAUCUAAUAGUUAGUUGUGUCUGAUUAGUUCAGUGUAAUGACACUGCUACACAUUUAGACGGUUUCCAAAACUUACCCUGAAAUGUGGUGGUUUAAUCUUACACAUGUUCUGGGGUAAAAAAGCUGAUUUCCUCUAAUACAAAUAAUAUUAUACAUGAACGG